GGUGGGGAGUGACGUCAAGUCAUCAUGGCCCUUACGGCCUGGGCGUACACACGUGCUACAAUGGUCGGUACAAAGGGUUAGCCAAGCCGCGAGGUGGAGCUAAUCCCAUAAAACCGAUCGUAGUCCGGAUCGCAGUCUGCAACUCGACUGCGUGAAGUCGGAAUCGCUAGUAAUCGUGAAUCAGAAUGUCACGGUGAAUACGUUCCCGGGCCUU
rnacentral:rRNA from 1 species